GUGAGGAAUUUUGGUCAAUGGGCGGGAGCCUGAACCAGCCAAGUCGCGUGAAGGAAGAAGGAUCUAUGGUUCGUAAACUUCUUUUGCAGGGGAAUAAAGUGCAGGACGUGUCCUGUUUUGUAUGUACCCUGAGAAUAAGGAUCGGCUAACUCCGUGCCAGCAGCCGCGGUAAUACGGAGGAUCCGAGCGUUAUCCGGAUUUAUUGGGUUUAAAGGGUGCGUAGGUGGUUUGAUAAGUCAGCGGUGAAAGUUUGCAGCUUAACUGUAAAAAUGCCGUUGAAACUGUCGGACUUGAGUGUAAAUGAGGUAGGCGGAAUGCGUGGUGUAGCGGUGAAAUGCAUAGAUAUCACGCAGAACUCCGAUUGCGAAGGCAGCUUACUAAGCUACAACUGACACUGAAGCACGAAAGCGUGGGGAUCAAACAGGAUUAGAAACCCUAGUAGUCC
rnacentral:rRNA from 1 species